rnacentral:rRNA from 1 species
UCCAACGUUAAUCGGGGCAGGGUGAGUCGACCCCUAAGGCGAGGCCGAAAGGCGUAGUCGAUGGGAAACAGGUUAAUAUUCCUGUACUUGGUGUUACUGCGAAGGGGGGGACGGAGAAGGCUAUGUCGGCCGGGCGACGGUUGUCCCGGUUUAAGCGUGUAGGCUGACUUUCCAGGCAAAUCCGGAAAGUUAAGGCUGAGGCGUGAUGACGAGGCACCACGGUGCUGAAGU